CAGGCUGCAACUCGCCUGCAUGAAGUCGGAAUUGCUAGUAAUCGCAGAUCAGCAUGCUGUGGUGAAUACGUUCCCGGGCCUUGUACACACCGCCCGUCACACCAUGGGAGUCGGUAACACCCAAAGUUGGUAGUCUAACCGCAAGGAGGACGCCGCCUAAGGUGGGAUUGAUGACUGGGGUGAAGUCGUAACAAGGUAGC
rnacentral:rRNA from 1 species